AGAGUUUGAUCAUGGCUCAGAUUGAACGCUGGCGGCAGGCCUAACACAUGCAAGUCGAACGGUAACAGGAAGCAGCUUGCUGCUUCGCUGACGAGUGGCGGACGGGUGAGUAAUGUCUGGGAAACUGCCUGAUGGAGGGGGAUAACUACUGGAAACGGUGGCUAAUACCGCAUAACGUCGCAAGACCAAAGAGGGGGACCUUCGGGCCUCUUGCCAUCAGAUGUGCCCAGAUGGGAUUAGCUUGUUGGUGAGGUAACGGCUCACCAAGGCGACGAUCCCUAGCUGGUCUGAGAGGAUGACCAGCCACACUGGAACUGAGACACGGUCCAGACUCCUACGGGAGGCAGCAGUGGGGAAUAUUGCACAAUGGGCGCAAGCCUGAUGCAGCCAUGCCGCGUGUAUGAAGAAGGCCUUCGGGUUGUAAAGUACUUUCAGCGGGGAGGAAGGUGUUGUGGUUAAUAACCACAGCAAUUGACGUUACCCGCAGAAGAAGCACCGGCUAACUCCGUGCCAGCAGCCGCGGUAAUACGGAGGGUGCAAGCGUUAAUCGGAAUUACUGGGCGUAAAGCGCACGCAGGCGGUCUGUCAAGUCGGAUGUGAAAUCCCCGGGCUCAACCUGGGAACUGCAUUCGAAACUGGCAGGCUUGAGUCUUGUAGAGGGGGGUAGAAUUCCAGGUGUAGCGGUGAAAUGCGUAGAGAUCUGGAGGAAUACCGGUGGCGAAGGCGGCCCCCUGGACAAAGACUGACGCUCAGGUGCGAAAGCGUGGGGAGCAAACAGGAUUAGAUACCCUGGUAGUCCACGCCGUAAACGAUGUCUACUUGGAGGUUGUGCCCUUGAGGCGUGGCUUCCGGAGCUAACGCGUUAAGUAGACCGCCUGGGGAGUACGGCCGCAAGGUUAAAACUCAAAUGAAUUGACGGGGGCCCGCACAAGCGGUGGAGCAUGUGGUUUAAUUCGAUGCAACGCGAAGAACCUUACCUGGUCUUGACAUCCACAGAAGAAUCCAGAGAUGGAUUUGUGCCUUCGGGAACUGUGAGACAGGUGCUGCAUGGCUGUCGUCAGCUCGUGUUGUGAAAUGUUGGGUUAAGUCCCGCAACGAGCGCAACCCUUAUCCUUUGUUGCCAGCGGUUAGGCCGGGAACUCAAAGGAGACUGCCAGUGAUAAACUGGAGGAAGGUGGGGAUGACGUCAAGUCAUCAUGGCCCUUACGACCAGGGCUACACACGUGCUACAAUGGCGCAUACAAAGAGAAGCGACCUCGCGAGAGCAAGCGGACCUCAUAAAGUGCGUCGUAGUCCGGAUUGGAGUCUGCAACUCGACUCCAUGAAGUCGGAAUCGCUAGUAAUCGUGGAUCAGAAUGCCACGGUGAAUACGUUCCCGGGCCUUGUACACACCGCCCGUCACACCAUGGGAGUGGGUUGCAAAAGAAGUAGGUAGCUUAACCUUCGGGAGGGCGCUUACCACUUUGUGAUUCAUGACUGGGGUGAAGUCGUAACAAGGUAACCGUAGGGGAACCUGCGGUUG
rnacentral:rRNA from 1 species